UACGAAGGGGACUAGCGUUGUUCGGAAUCACUGGGCGUAAAGCGCACGUAGGCGGAUGUGUCAGUCAGGGGUGAAAUCCCGGGGCUCAACCUCGGAACUGCCUUUGAUACAGCACGUCUCGAGUCCGGAAGAGGUGGGUGGAAUUCCUAGUGUAGAGGUGAAAUUCGUAGAUACUAGGAAGAACACCGGUGCGAAGGCGGCCCACUGGUCCGGUACUGACGCUGAGGUGCGAAAGCGUGGGGAGCAAACAGG
rnacentral:rRNA from 1 species